UACGUAGGGGGCAAGCGUUGUCCGGAAUUAUUGGGCGUAAAGCGCGCGCAGGCGGUAAAUUAAGUUUGGUGUUUAAGCCUGGGGCUCAACCCCGGAUCGCACUGAAAACUGGUUUACUUGAGUGCGGGAGAGGAAAGUGGAAUUCCACGUGUAGCGGUGAAAUGCGUAGAGAUGUGGAGGAACACCAGUGGCGAAGGCGACUUUCUGGACCGUAACUGACGCUGAGGCGCGAAAGCGUGGGGAGCAAACAGG
rnacentral:rRNA from 1 species